UACGUAGGUGGCAAGCGUUGUCCGGAUUUACUGGGCGUAAAGAGCGCGCAGGCGGUCGUUCAAGUCGCGUGUGAAAGCCCCCGGCUCAACUGGGGAGGGUCACGCGAUACUGAUCGACUCGAAGGCAGGAGAGGGUAGUGGAAUUCCACGUGUAGCGGUGAAAUGCGUAGAGAUGUGGAGGAACACCAGUGGCGAAGGCGACUUUUUGGCCUGUAACUGACGCUGAGGCGCGAAAGCGUGGGGAGCAAACAGG
rnacentral:rRNA from 1 species